rnacentral:tRNA from 1 species
AAGAUGGAAGCUUUUGUGAAGCGUUAGAUUUUUGAUCUGAAAAAGAGGAUUUGCCUUUCAUUUUAC